UACAGAGGGUGCAAGCGUUAAUCGGAGUUACUGGGCGUAAAGGGCGCGUAGGCGGCUUUUUAAGUUGGAUGUGAAAUCCCUGGGCUUAACCUAGGAACUGCAUUCAAUACUGGAGAGCUAGAAUAUUGUAGAGGGUAGUGGAAUUUCCGGUGUAGCGGUGAAAUGCGUAGAGAUCGGAAGGAACACCAGUGGCGAAGGCGGCUACCUGGACAAAUAUUGACGCUGAGGCGCGAAAGCGUGGGGAGCAAACAGG
rnacentral:rRNA from 1 species